GCUGCCGUGGCGCAACUGGUUAGCGCGUGCGUCUGUUAGACAUGGUUAGCAGCACACUGCAAGGUUGGUGGUUCGAGUCCACCCAGUGGCG